AAAUAUGUGUGUAUCACCAUCACACAGUUACACGCCAGACGUCACACCACACGAAUUGCGUCCGUCAAUCCCUACGUACGUAAGACAACGUUGGCAAUGUCGCGACGUAGUCAGCAAUUGCUAUGAUACAAACGCAACGUGCGUCGAGCAAUUAACACGGACGUUGCCACAUUCUUUGUGUUUCUAUGAGACUGGCCACACGAACGGCGAGUUAACGUAUAUUAACCGCUAUAAUAAAUUAUGGACGUCGAGGUACUGAUAUCCGAAGUUGAGAAACAUCCCGCUGUAUGGGAUGUUUCCAAUAAUGAAUACAAAAACAAAUUAAAAAGAAACGAAGCGUGGUUGCGUGUGGCGAGUAUUGUAAUCCCCAACUUUAUGCAAAAGAUAGAAACUGAUAAGAAGAUGAUUUUGCAGGAGGUAAUUUCUAAAUGGAGAAGCGUACGCGAUAAUUAUAUUCGUUCUUUAAGGAAAAGAGACAGAAAUAAUAAGUUAGGCACUGUUCCAAAAAGAAAGAUACAAUAUAUUUAUGAAGAACAAUUAGAAUUUUUGAAAAAAUGUCGGCUGCAAGAAGAUGCUAAUAGUAACACGGAAGUAGUAAGGAAUGAUUUAAUGAGUACAGAUUCAAGGACCAACAUUACUAAUGGAUUUGGAUCGAUUUUUAAUAAUGAAGAAACGAAUAAUGAGUCGAGAUACCCACGAGAAAGAGCAAAAAGAACUAACGCGGAAGGAGAGGUGGUUAAUUUUUCGGAAUAUAAGAAAAAUACAAACGACGACGAUGACGACGUGGCAUUUUAUAAAUCAACAUUACCACUAAUUAAGACCUUUAAUUUAGAACAAAAAGUGCAAUACAGAAUGCAAAUUAUGCAAUUAAUUCAGGAUGUUAGAAAUUCAUCUGUUCAACGCACACUAUCAAAUAGUAAUACGUAGCACAUCAAAUUGUCCGGUUAGAUAUUUUUAUGAUACUUCAUUAAGAAAAUUUCCCUUUCGACCACAAAUUUUCAUGGAUGCAGCCAGUACUUUCUUGUCUUGACUUAUAUUUUCUUUUGAAUUUUUAACGUAAACGAGCGUAAACGAAAAUCGAGAAUUCUACAGCGUUAAUUUUGGUCACAUGGAUAUCUUUCUCAGCGUAUCGAUCGGAGAAAAUUACGGAGAACCAAACCAACGCUCGAGUGAGUACAGUUCCAACGUCCGUCAAAAUUGACGUCCGUUAUAACGCUCGUGUUUCCCCAGCUUUAUUUUACAAAAUAUCGAAGUAAUUGUUAAUAGAAUUAGCUUUUCUAAUUGCUUUAUACCAAAUUAUCCUUUAAAUCCUGUUAACCAUAAGUUAACUAUGUAUAUAUGUAUAUACAGCGUGAGACAGCGUGGUUGGUACAACUAGAUAAACCUAUGUGAGAAGAUAACUUGAAAAUAUAGAAUAAAACUUUUUUAUGUGAAAAAAAAAAUUGAGUUUGAAAAUUUGCCAAACAUAGUUAAACUUGGCUAAGUACCAACUAGGUACGAGUAAUCAAUCAACAAGAGGUCAUUAGAUAUGCAAAAAUAAGUCGAACACGUAAAAUAAAAAAUUUUUUUUCAAGGCAGUCUUCAAGAAAAUAAAAUUUCCAAACUCGAUUUUCUUGAAAAAUAUGAUUCAUCGAUUUCUGUAACAAGAUAUCAUGUAAUUGUUCAAAUCAAUGCAACGUAAAUGUAUUACGGCUUAAAAAAAUAAAAAAAAUUACACAUGAGAUAUUAAAAUCAAAUAAAAGAUAUCAAGAUUAUA